CCACAUUGUAGUGUGUGUCAGUACUUCAUAUAUUUUUUUUUAAGUGAUUGAACCCAAAUUUCAUCUGUGGAUGGUUGGAUAACACCUGCAUGCAUGCUAAGUCACUUUAGUCGUGUCCAACUCUUUGUGACUCUAUGAACUGUAGCCCACCAGGCUCCUCUGUCCAUGGAAUUCUCCAGGCAAGAAUACUGCAGUCGGUUGUCAUGCCCUCCUCCAGGGGAUCUUCUAGACCCAGGGACUGAACCUGUGUCUCUUACCUCUCCUGCAUUAACAGCACACCUCUGGACCAAGUCUUCACUGGAGGAGUACCAUAGUUGAAGAGCACAUGACCUCAUCAGCUCCAGGAGAAGACUCUUGAGAAUCCCUCGGACCACAAGGAGAUCCAACCAGUCCAUUCUGAAGGAGAUCAGCCCUGGAAUUUCUUUGGAAGGAAUGAUGCUAAAGCUGAAACUCCAGUACUUUGGCCACCUCAUGUGAAGAGUUGACUCAUUGGAAAAGACUCUGAUGCUGGGAGGGAUUGGGGGCAGGAGAAGAAGGGGACGACAGAGGAUGAGAUGGCUGGAUGGCAUCACUGACUCUAUGGACGUGGAUCCUGGGGAGGUCUGUCUGGAGCAUCACACAGCGCACACAAGCUGGCGUUCUCGCCCCGUUCUGCCUACAAAUGCACUGUUACCAGAAUCAACGAUUAAUGGUUGAACGAGUCUGAAAAAUGGCUAUCCCUUUGACCUUUCUAAGAGUCUUCCCAUCUUUCUCGACCAGAUCAGAUUCUUCAGCCCACAGAGCCUCUCCUGACCUUCCUUAAUGGAGAGAGCUUAUCCCCUCUCUCACUCCUGCACAGCUUCACCUGCACUACUCUCAGAGUGUCAUUACCUGCUGCCUCAAGUUAUAAUUAUUUGUGGACAGAUCUCACUUUCAUCUAGUUCUGUAUCUGUACAGGCUGAAUAAUGAUCCCC
ensembl:lncRNA